AUCUAAAUUAGGAUAAUGUUUGUGGGUUUUCUUCGAAAAACUUCACAUGUAUUUCAAUAACCUUGCCUCCUUUUAUAUACAAAUUACAUACUCCUAUUUAACAAAUUGAAAUCACAUAUCUCCUAAUCAAUUACAACUAUUAUCAAAUCAAAUCUUCCUAAUUAUAAAAUAUUAAAUCAAAUAUGUAAUAAAUUUGUGUAAUAAAUCUGUAACAAAUCUACCUAUAUUGGUUCUCCACACUCUCUCUCAAUAUGUGGUAGAUGCUUUCCAACUAAAGGAUCAUGUUCUUCUCAUUUAGAUUAUGUCUGAAAGGUUGAUGCUUUGAUGGAAUGCAGUUGAGGGUGAUUGACUUAUCUUCAAUUUUUUCACUAAUGAAAUGUCGAUCAAUCUCCAUAUGUUUGGUACGAUCAUGGUGGACAGGAUUCUUGGCAAUUGUAAUAGCUGAUUGAUUACCACAUAAGAUUUGAGCAGAUUCUGAUGUCUCAACUUUGAAAUUGUUUAAUAGCCAUUUUAGCCAUAUCCCCUCGCAAAUACGUGAGGCUAGUGCUCUAAAUUCAACUUCUGCACUACUAGCGACCACAUUUUGUUUCUUGAUUUGCUAUGUUACUAGGUUUCCCUAGAUAAAAGAGCAAUACCCUGAUGUAGACCUUCUAUCAUUUAGAGACCCUACCCAAUCAGUAUCGACAUUGGUAUAUACUUUUAAAGAUCCGCUUCUUGAUUUCUUGACCAUACAACCUUUUCAUGGAUUGCUCUUCAUGUAUCUCAAUAUACGAUUCACUGCCUCUAUGUGAUCCAUAGAUGGAUUACUUUGAAAUUAACUCACCCAACUUAUUGAAAAACUUGUGUUCAGACAUGUAUGAGUUAUGUAGAACUUACUUGCUAACUGUUGAUAUUGUCUCUUGUCAACCGCUAAUUCAUCAAUUCUAGACAUAAGUCUAGUAUUGGGAUCCAUGGGAGUUUUAACCGGCUUACACCACUCAUCCCAGUUUCAACAAAUCAAGUACGUAUUUGCAUUGGGAAACAAAUAUGCCUUUGUUGCUUUAUGCCGCUUCCAUUCCCAAGAAAUGCUUCAAGUGCCCCAAGUCUUUGGUCUCGAAUUCUUUGGAUAUGAGAGACUUGAGUUUUCUAAUUUCAUCACCAUGAUUUUAUGAAAGGACAAUGCCAUCAACAUACAUAAUCAAAACUGUGAUAUUCCCAUCUGGGAAGUAUUUAGUGAACAAAGUGUGAUCAACUUGUGAGUGAGAGUAUCAUCAUUCUUUAAGACUUUUAUGAACCAUGCUUUUGGUAACUGUUUCAGCCCAUACAAUGUCUUUCAAGUUUGCAUAAUUUUCUUUUGUAUCACUUGUCUCAAAGCUUGGGAUGUCUAUAUAUACUUCUUAAGGAAGACAAUUUUAACAUCGAGCUGAUACAAUGACCACUUUAAGUUGGCAGCAAUGGAACACAAACCGUGUUGAGUUUAGACAUUGACGCAAAGGUCUCGAGAUAAUCAAUUCCAUAUGAUUGAGUAUAUCCUUUCGUCACUAGGCGUGCUUUGUACCGGUCUAUGCUCCCAUCUGCAUUUUGUUUAAUUGAGAACCACCAUCUACACCCCACAAAACUUUCCUGGUGGAGCUUUGUUAUCACCCACGUGCCAUUUUUUUCUAGUGCAUUAUAUUCUUCGAGAGUCGCCUUCUUCCAUUCAGAAAUUUUAAGAGCUUUUUCCACAUAGUUAGAAAUAUUGAUUUUGUCUAAAGAGGUCACAAAUGCAUGAAAUAAUGGCGAUAAUUUCGUGUAGGAAAUGCAACUGUGAAGAGGGUAUUGAGUGCAUGAUGUUAUACCUUUCUUGUGUGCAAUUGGUAAAUUUAAUGUAAAAUUCAGCCGUGGACUAGAAUAUGUUGUCUCCUGAUUCAACUUCAAUUUGGCUUGGGGAAUUCUCUUGGCAGUGUUGAGAUAGUACUGCCAUUCGAUGUUUCCUUCUUUCAUACACUAGUAGGAGAAUAAGGAGGGUGACUAUCAAGAUUUGGAGAUAGUGGAUCACUAGAUUUUGGGAAAGGUUGAAUGGAAGACUCAGAUGGUGAUGCCCAAGAAGGGAUGCCCACUCCCAAUACUGCAAUUGACUGGUAUUGUUUUCCCCAGAAUUGUAGUAUUAGCGUAGUAAGGGAUAGUGUUGAGGACCGUUCCAUUAUGGAGAACAUCCAUCUUGCCCAGUGCUCUUGAGGAAGUACGCAAGAAAGAGGACUUCAGCACGGUGUGUACUUAAGGUCGAUCUCCAGAAGCCGUUGUUUUUGCUUGUUACACUUUGGCGGUUUGGAUUUCCGAAGCGGUACGUCACAUGGAUAAAGGAAUGUAUAGCCAUAGUCUCCUACUCGGUGGAUAUUAAUGGAGCAAUGCAUAUAUUCUUUAAAGGGAGGAGAGGCUUGAGGCAAGGUGAUCCACUAUCACUCUUUCUUGAGGCAAGGUGAUCCACUAUCACUCUCUCUUUGGAUUAUGUUUAGAGGUGUUCUCGAGAAUGCUCAGAUCUACUGCUAUUAAGCUGGCCUUUCACUAUCAUCCUAUGUGUGCUCACAUCGGUAUCACUCACCUAGCGUGUGCGGAUGAUCUCUUACUCUUCGUUAGGGCCGAUGAUCCAACAAUCAACUUGAUUGCGGACUCCUUAAGGCAGUUUGGACAGGUUGCAGGGCUGCAUCCUAACCUCAUCAAAUUCAAUCUAUUCAUGGCUAUAAUUGAUGAUCGCACAAUAAGUAGAUUGAUGGAAAUCACAAGUUUUCAGAGGUUCUUUUCCGUUCCAAUACUUGGACAUUCCCCUUGUGGCGGAGAAGUUGAGGAUCUGCAAUUAUGGUCCUUUCACAAGGCUAUGUUGCGAAAACUUGUUUCAUGGCUAAACAAACUUUAUCAUAUGCCAGCAAGCUCGAAUUGGUCACUAGUGCUCCAAGGUAUCAAAUGUUUUUGGCUUUCCAUCUUACCAAUCUCUUGUACAGAGAUAGACAAGAUAUAUGCUAUUUGUCGCUUCUUUGUAUGGUCCGCCAAGCAUCUUCCCAUCUCUUGGGCCACCAUGUGCUUAGCAAAAGAUGAAGGGGGAUACAGACUGUGUGAUCUCAAGACAUGGAAUUCUGCAGUCCAAGUCCUUGUGGAACAUCCAGCUAAAGGACUCCCUUUGGGUGUGGUGGGUUCACCACCAAUACCUCUAACACACCAACAUCUGGGAGCGACAAGCGAAACCUGACAGUUCCCACAUAAAAAACUGAUCCAAAUCCUCCAACAGUCUGGGUUGGUUUUGCUGAGUAGGCUGCGAUAAUGUUGGGCUCAUGGUUUGAUCUAGAAUUGCGGCGUGGAGUUGUUGCAUAUGACUUCUUUAAGCCGUGGAGCGACAGGAAGGUGUGAGCAACAGUUGUGUGGAAGCCUUACAUCAUGCCUAAGUAGUUUGUCAUGUGGCAGAUUGCAAAUGGCAAAAUGCGCACCAAAGACAGAUUGUCGUAUGUAGACUGCAAAACUUGUCUGAUGUGCCAGCAGGUAGACGAGACGGUAUACCACCUUUUCUUCAUGUGUUCCAUCAUUAAACCUCUAUAGGGCAGGGCUUAAAGUUGACUACACAUUGGGCACAACUUUGGGAUAGCGGCAACCUUGUUGGAGACGUUCUAACCGGUAAUAUCAUGGAGCAUGCUCAAUAAAACACGUCACUUAGGUGUAUCUUGUAUGAUCUAUUUGAUUUGGCAAAAUCCAAAAUCGAUGUCAAUAUGAAGGGGAUGUGUCAAAACAUUAAGAGGAUGCUUAGAAAGGUUCAAACACAUGUCUUUAGCUUUUUGACUGCUUCUCAUCUAAGUCCUUGAUCAACUUUAAUACAAUUAACCUUUAUCCAAAAAAAGUAAGGGAUAGUCUCAAAGAAUGUAAUAUCUAUAGUGUUGUAGAACUUUUUGGUGAUGGGUGAAUAACAUUUACAUCCUUUUUGGUUAGAGGAAUAACUAAGAAAGAUACAUUUAUGAGCCCGAGCAUCAAACUUGCCUCGGUAUUGAGAGUGAAUAUGCACAAAAGCGAUACAUCCGAAGAGUUUAAGAGGAAGGUCGGAGUUAAGGCGAGUCUAGGGAAAUAAUUUUUGUAGUGUCUACAAUGGAGUGCGGUAUUUGAGAACUCAAGAGGGCAGGCGAUUUAUGAGGUAUGUAGCAGUGAGGAUUGUUUCUCUCCAAAAUGUGGUUGGGGUAUUGCUUGAAAUAGUAGGGAUCAAGCUAAUCCAAGAAUGUGACGAUUUUUCCAUUUGGCCACACCAUUUUAUUACGGUGUGUUAACACAGAAAUUUUGUCGGAUAAUUCCAUGAGAUUUGAGAUAUGAGCCAAGAUCAGAAGUGAAAAAAUCUUUGACAUGGUAGGUCUUGAGCAUUUUAAUAUCAUUUUUGAAUUGGUUUUUACCAUGAUAUAGAAGUUUUGGAAGAUGUGUUUCGCUUCUGAUUUAUCUUUCAUUAGGAAUGUCUAACAUAAUCUAGUGUGAUCAUCAACUAAUAGUAGGAACCACCUUGAGCUUGUGAGACUCGGGGUAUAAAAUGGUCCCCAUAUGUCACCAUGGAUGAGAGAAAAAGGAUGUGUAUGCUUAUAUUACCUGGGAGAGUAAGUGUUUUGAGUAUGUUUUACAAUUUCACAAAUUUUGCACUAAAACAAACUCGGAUUUUUAUUAAUAAUGAGUGAGGGAAAUAAGUACCUUAAAUAUGAAAAAUUGGGAUGACCAAGUCGAAAGUGUCACUUCAUAAUAUCACUUUCUUUAUUCGAUCAGCAAGACUCAAUUGACAUUUGUGACUAAGUCGAAAGUGUCAUAUUAUUAUAUCACUUUCUUUAUUCGACCAGCCGGAUUCAAUUGACAUUUGUGACUAACUAAAUGACUUGAACAUAGAUAUACAUUAAGUAAAGACCUUCACACUAUCAAUCGUCUUCCUGGUGCUCAAAUUCUGAAACACACAAGAGUAGAAAGGAAUUUAGUCUCACAAUUGAGAUCUUUAUUUAAUCUAUUAACCGACACAAGAUUAUAAUCAAGGUCAGGAACUAAUAACACAGAAUAUAGAGUUAGUGUGCUUAAGAAAUGAAUGAUUCUCGUCCCAACUACUUUAGCACAUGUCCCAUUUGCUAUACGCACCCAUUGAGAUUUGUCAUAGUGAAAAAGUGGAGAAAAGUGAUCUAUCACCUUUCAUGUGCUCUGAAGUGCCAAAAUCCGUAAUUCAAGGAAAUGGGCUAUGUUGCACGGACACUUGCAGGGUUUUUUUUUUUUUCAAGUAUCGGACACGGACACGACAUGGAUACGGACACGAUACGCAAAUACGCGUGUCGGAUACGGCAAAAUCCGUGUCAUUGACUUUUUUAAAGUUUGACCAGCCGGAUACGGUUAGGAUACGGCUAGGACACGGAUGAGACACGUUUUCGGAUAUAUUUGGGCUCAAAUGUAAAAAACCUAAAAAUUAUAAGGCUCAAAUUGAAAAAUAAUAAAUUUCUAAGGAUUGAUUAAUAAAUAAAUUAAAAUGAAUUUGACAUAACAAAACCCUAAAUUCCUUUGGUUUUGUAUUGCUCCUGAUUAUUUCCUCCCGACUCUCACCGCUGCAAACCUUCGCCCGUUCGCCGCCUUGCUGCAAACCUUCGCCGCCUCGCUGCAAAGUGCAAACCUUCGCCGGUGCUCGCUGCAAACCUUCCCCGCUGCUCGUGCAAACCUUCGCCGCUGCUCUGCUCUCGCCGCUUCUCUUUUCACCUCGCUUCGCCUGCUCUGCUCGCCUCGCCACUGUUAUGCUCGCCUCUGCUCGCCUCUGCUCGCCGUGCUCGCCUCUGCUCGCCGUGCUCGCCUCUGCUCGCCGUGCUCGCCUCUGCUCGCCUCGUCACUACUCGCUGCCGCCCUCUAUUUUUUGCCUAUUUGCUAUGGAAAGUUUUCAAAAUGAGAGUGGACAGGAGGAUAUUGAUGAUUAUUCUCCUCUGUGGAAAUUUGUAGCCAAGGUGGAAAAGGGAGUCGGAGGAGGAAAUGUCACUUGGUCAUGCAAUAUAUGUACUAAAGUGUGUAAAGGAUCAUAUUCGAGGGUGAAAGCACAUCUGUUAAAACAAAAAGGGGCUGGAAUUGCUGGUUGUACAGCUGUUACAAUGGAUCAAAUGAAGCGCAUGCAACAACUUGUGGAUGAUGCAGAAUUGAGAAAGAAGAAUUCUAAACCGAAAGAAGUUUCGUUGCCUUCGUCAUCUGUAUCAUCAAACAUGGCUUCAAAAUCAUCAUUUAGUGGUCCUGGUCCUUUGCAAAAUGAUGAUCCAACUCUAACAAAGAAGAAGAAAGGACAACUUGACCCUCUUGAAAAAGCUUUUAACUUGAAUGCUAGAGAUGAGCUCCACUCUGAAAUUGCAAGGCUCUUUUACACUGGGGGAUUAUCUUUCAAUAUUGCUAGGAAUCCUCAUUAUGUUCGUGCUUUCAGUUUGGCUACUCAACGAACGAUUCCGGGUUAUUUUCCACCUGGAUACAAUUUAUUGAGAACUUCACUUCUUCAAAAAGAAAAAGCUCAUAUUGAAAAGUUGUUGGAGCCAACAAAAAUUGCUUGGAAACAAAAGGGGGUUAGUAUUUGUAGUGAUGGGUGGUCGGAUGUGCAAAGAAGACCGCUAAUUAAUAUCAUAGACGUGUGUGAAAGUGGUCCUAUGUUUUUGAAGGCUAUAAAUUGUGAAGGCCAGUACAAGGAUAAAAUUUUCAUCUCUAAGUUGCUCAUUAAUGUUAUAAAUGAAGUGGGACAUCAGAAUGUUGUCCAAGUAGUCACCGAUAAUGCUCCUGUUUGCAAAGCUGCUGGGUUACUCGUUGAGGCAAAGUAUCCACACAUAUUUUGGACUCCUUGUGUUGUGCACGCAUUGAAUCUUGCUUUGAAGAAUAUUUGUGCACCAACUGACUCUCUACAAAACAAAGAAGCCUUUGAUGAGUGCAAGUGGAUAGCAGAAGUAGCAAAUGAUGCUUCAAUGAUCAAGAAUUUUAUCCUGAAUCACAAUAUGAGACUAUCGAUGUUCAACGAUAACCCAAACUUGAAGAUGCUAUCACUUGCAGAUAUUCGAUUUGCUUCCACGAUCAUUAUGCUUAAAAGGUUCAGACAAAUCAAGAAAUGUCUUGAAAACAUGGUGAUUAGUGAAAGAUGGGAUGUGUACAAGGAGGAUGAUAUAGUGAAGGCUAGAGUAGUGAAAUACAAGAUAUUGGAUGAUCAAUUUUGGGAAAAGAUUGAUUAUAUACUUGCUUUCACAAGUCCGAUUUAUGAGAUGCUAAGGAAAGCAGACACUGAUCAACCUUGUCUUCAUUUAGUCUAUGAGUGGUGGGAUGAAAUGAUAGAGAAAAUGAGAGUUGCUAUCUCAAAGGGGGCUCAUAGUGAAGAUUCAAAGUUUUAUGAGGUUGUUCAUAAUAUUCUGGUGGAGCGAUGGAAUAAAAGCAAUACAUCUUUACAUUGUUUGGCGCAUUCUUUGAAUCCAAGGUAUUAUAGCCAUGAGUGGCUCAAAGAAUCUCCCAAUCGUCUUCCUCCUUAUAGGGACAUCGAAGUUUCAAGGGAAAGGAAAAAGUGCAUUGAAAGAUAUUACUCCAAUUCAUCCGAACAAAGAAGUGUCAAUGAGGAGUUUGCCUCUUUUUCAGCUGCCAUUGAUGAUUUUUCUGAUAAUGAUGCAAUGCGUGAUCGAGGUUUAAUGUCUCCAACUAAGUGUCACUUGCGACAGUCAUAGGGUCUUCAUGCAUCGGAGGAAUAACGUGCAACUCAAUUAUAUUAUUUCAAGAUCUGCUAGUGUCAACAACACUUUCCCCUGGUGACACUGCCAACAUGUUUACUUAUGCUGUUUUGCGGUUAACACCGCAUGCUUUAUCCUCCAAGACAAGUUCUUGGUCCUAUUUAAGGAAAGGAGUUUCUUCCUCAAAUGUUUCUGUUAGAUCUGCUUCACUAAAUACUGG